rnacentral:tmRNA from 1 species
CUGAUUGCACAGACACCUACGCACGCUUAUAUGUCUGUCGUCCUUCGGGACUAUAGGCAUAAACGCGCUCGUAAUAAGCGGAUCGGACCCGGGGGCGGUACCCGGCGGCUCCACCAAACAUCCUUAUUGGGGGACUUUGGGGCCGAAAUAGGAUCGACGGACGUCUAAAGGGGUUAGCUUUGUCUCGGCGGGGUACCACCGUUAUCGGUCCGUUAAGCAUAAUUGCCAAUAACAAUUACGCUCCGAUGAAAGCUGUCGCGUAAGCGAUAUCAGACAUCGAUCUUUAAGCCCUUGUGCCUAGCCGCAUAAGGCGGGGUUCGCAGGCACCUGGCAACAGAAGCCUGCACU